rnacentral:rRNA from 1 species
CUAUGGCUAAUACAUGCGCAAAGGCCCGACCCUGAAGGGCUGUAUUUAUUAGAUCUAACCAUCAUUUGGUGAAUCAUAGUAACUGAUCGGACCGUGCGUUAGCGCGGUAAAUCGUUCAAGUUUCUGCCCUAUCAGCUUUCGAUGGUAGUGUAUUGGACUACCAUGGCAGUCACGGGUAACGGAGGAUUAGGGUUCGGUUCCGGAGAGGGAGCCUGAGAAACGGCUACCACAUCUAAGGAAGGCAGCAGGCGCGUAAAUUACCCAAUCCCGAUUCGGGGAGGUAGUGACAAGAAAUAACAACUCGAGAGGUUUACCUCUACGGGAUCGCAAUGAGAACAAUCCAAAACACUUAGCGAUAAACAAUUGGAGGGCAAGUCUGGUGCCAGCAGCCGCGGUAAUUCCAGCUCCAAUAGCGUGCGCAAAAGUUGUUGCAGUUAAAAAGCUCGUAGUUGAACUUCUGGCCGCGUACAGGUUUGGCUUCAGUCGACUUGUUAUGCAGUCAUCCGUCUGCGAACCUAGUCGGCCUUUACUGGUUCGACUAGGAAAGCAGACAAUUUACCUUGAAAAAAUUAGAGUGUUUCAGGCAGGUAACCGCCGGAAUACAUUAGCAUGGAAUAAUGGAAUAGGACUUAGCUCCUUUGUUGGUUUUAGGAACUUAGUAAUGAUUAAUAGGAACAGUUGGGGGGCAUUAGUAUUUAAUUGUCAG